rnacentral:tRNA from 1 species
CCGUGGCUGGUUCAGUGGGUAGAGUUUAGGACUCGUGAUCAAAAGGUCCCAGUUCGAAUCUCGCCAAACGUGGA